GAAUCACCAGCUCUGGGGAAGCUGCAGCCAUCCUGGGUUUCUCAGGCAACCUCGAGACAAAGCACUGAGAUUCCAGCCAUGACCACAUGAGGCGGCCACGCCCUCUGCUAACGGAGGUCAUCCUCUGGACGACCACAGCGCUGGCAAUGAUAGGGCCUGAGCUAGAACCAACUGAAAUGAUUUCUUCUGUGUUACUUGGUCGCUCAACCAGGAAAGAGGAACUCUUUCUACUCUUUAUCAUCUGCUAUUUACUCAGUGCAAAAUGCAGUGCCCAGCGCCUGGAAAGUCCCGCGAGCAAACUGGAAAUUCUGGCUCCUGGGGGGAUCUGUUCACAGAAUUUUAUUUUCACUGGUUGUCGAGAGAAUCGUUAAGAUUGCAUAGUUUAGGGUUUCCAUUUUUGUGUGUUUUAUAGUUUUAUGGUAUUAAGAGAACUGCAAAUUUGUGUUAGUGCAGUGAGAUUAAGAUAA